UGAUAAACUGUCACCUUAUUAACAAUUUUUUAUUUGAAUAGUUUUUUUUUCAACAUUUUAAAAAGUUUUUAAAUCAUGAAGGGUUUACAUUUUAAAAAGUUUUUAGAAACAUGGAAACAAAUUUGCUGAAUGACAAGUCAAAUGAGAACAAGUUUUGGUUGAUCGAACUUGAGAUAAUGCUUUCUACCAGCCAGCCUCAGUAACGUAAAACUCAGGUUGAGAGCUGUGCUCUGAUUCGCAGAUAAAAGGAAAAGUUGAACAACCAUUAUGAAGAAAGCAUAAGAAAAAAUCUAUGAAUAGAGUGGAGAAGGUCAUUCAUCAAUUUUAGGAGGAAACGAUGUAACAGGUUUCUAUUUAUCCUAUCCUAAUAGAAAAAGAAGGUUUGUUAGA